UUUCAUUCCAACCACCAAAAACAAAAACCCUUCAUGCGGUUCGCGGUGAAAACUGAGGCCAAAUACAAACUUAAAAUUUCCUUGCCCGUUUGCCGCCCAUUCGCUUUAGAUCAUCCAAAAAAAAUUUCGAAUGCCUCUGUUGAGUGGAUGUGUUUCCUUAAUCAAGUCUGAUCUGUUGAUUGAUCCGCCUUUUGCCGGUUUUCUCACCAUCCAAACAAAGUCACGUGCGAAUCUGCGAAUCUCAGUAUCUCGCUGAUGUUCAUCUUGAGGAAUUUUAAUGGAUAUCAUCAAUCGAAGGUUUCUCAUCAUGCAAACGAAGUCACAAACGCCUCUUCAGAUUUCACCGAUACUGAAACCUUGAGAAAUUUGAAUGGAUCUACUUAAUCGAAGGUCACAAGCGUCUUUGCAGAUUUUGCUGAUGCUUUAAUCUUAUAGGAAUUUGAAUGGAUAUCAGUAAUCGGAGACUGUUCCUACUAAUACAAAGGACUAGAUGACCGAAAGUUGAGGAGACUGAAGAAAAAGGAAGGAGAUGAAAAAAAGAACAUACUCAGAGCACAGAAAGACAGAAAACUCAGUGAGAAGCAACGUAAAAGAAAGGGUAGAGAAUCCAAGGAGAAUACAUCCAGAAUGAACAGACAUUCCCUCCUCAAAAUGAGGUGAGCUUCUCUUCCUGUUCUCAUACAAAACAAUAGGGAAGUAGUAUUUUUCUAAUACCAUGUACUGUUACUCCGUUAGAAACAGAAUAAACUACAACUAACAAAUCCCCAAAGUAGACUCAGACAAGUACCCAUGUAG